UACGGAGGAUGCAAGCGUUAUCCGGAUUCAUUGGGUUUAAAGGGUGCGUAGGCGGAAUAUUAAGUCAGCGGUGAAAUCCUGCAGCUUAACUGUAGAACUGUCAUUGAUACUGGUAUUCUUGAAUGCAGUUGAGGUAGGCGGAAUGUGUAAUGUAGCGGUGAAAUGCUUAGAUAUUACACAGAACACCGAUUGCGAAGGCAGCUUACUAAACUGUGAUUGACGCUGAGGCACGAAAGCGUGGGGAGCAAACAGGAUUAGAUACCCUGGUAGUCCACGCCGUAAACUAUGAUUACUCGCUGUUGGCGAUAUAUUGUCAGCGGCUGAGCGAAAGCAUUAAGUAAUCCACCUGGGGAGUACGAUCGCAAGGUUGAAACUCAAAGGAAUUGACGGGGGCCCGCACAAGCGGAGGAACAUGUGGUUUAAUUCGAUGAUACGCGAGGAACCUUACCUGGGCUUAAAUGUAGAGCGACAGACCGGGAAACCGGUCCUUCUUCGGACGAUCUACAAGGUGCUGCAUGGUUGUCGUCAGCUCGUGCCGUGAGGUGUCGGGUUAAGUCCCAUAACGAGCGCAACCCUUAUCGUUAGUUGCCAACGGGUCAUGCCGGGGACUCUAACGAAACUGCCGGUGUAAACCGUGAGGAAGGUGGGGAUGACGUCAAAUCAGCACGGCCCUUAUGUCCAGGGCGACACACGUGUUACAAUGGCCGGUACAAAGGGCAGCUACCUGGUGACAGGAUGCUAAUCUCUAAAACCGGUCUCAGUUCGGAUCGAAGUCUGCAACUCGACUUCGUGAAGCUGGAUUCGCUAGUAAUCGCGCAUCAGCCAUGGCGCGGUGAAUACGUUCCCGGGCCU
rnacentral:rRNA from 1 species